AUGCACGCUGGCGGCGUGCCUCAUACAUGCAAGUCGAGCGAACGGACGAGAAGCUUGCUUUUCUGAUGUUAGCGGCGGACGGGUGAGUAACACGUGGAUAACCUACCUAUAAGACUGGGAUAACUUCGGGAAACCGGAGCUAAUACCGGAUAAUAUUUUGAACCGCAUGGUUCAAAAGUGAAAGACGGUCUUGCUGUCACUUAUAGAUGGAUCCGCGCUGCAUUAGCUAGUUGGUAAGGUAACGGCUUACCAAGGCAACGAUGCAUAGCCGACCUGAGAGGGUGAUCGGCCACACUGGAACUGAGACAUGGUCCAGACUCCUACGGGAGGCAGCAGUAGGGAAUCUUCCGCAAUGGGCGAAAGCCUGACGGAGCAACGCCGCGUGAGUGAUGAAGGUCUUCGGAUCGUAAAACUCUGUUAUUAGGGAAGAACAUAUGUGUAAGUAACUGUGCACAUCUUGACGGUACCUAAUCAGAAAGCCACGGCUAACUACGUG
rnacentral:rRNA from 1 species